rnacentral:tRNA from 1 species
AGGGUUGUGGCUCAGUAAUAGAGCACUUGCCUAGCAUGCAUGAGAUGAGGCACUGGGUUCAAUUCCCAGCACCACAU